GCGAAUAAAAGUCCUUGAGUAGGGCGGGACACGUGAAAUCCUGUCUGAAAUUGGGGGGACCACCCUCCAAGCCUAAGUACUCGUGCAUGACCGAUAGCGAACUAGUACCGUGAGGGAAAGGUGAAAAGCACCCCGACAAGGGGAGUGAAAGAGUACCUGAAACCGAUUGCCUACAAACAGUGGAAGCCCAAGGUUCGUCCUGGGUGACCACGUACCUUUUGUAUAAUGGGUCAGCGACUUAGUGUGACGAGCAAGCUUAAACCGCUAGGUGUAGGCGCAGCGAAAGCGAGUCUGAACAGGGCGUUCAGUUCGUCGCAUUAGACCCGAAACCGAGUGAUCUAGCCAUGAGCAGGUUGAAGGUAAGGUAACACUUACUGGAGGACCGAACCCAUAACUGUUGCAAUAGUUCGGGAUGACUUGUGGCUAGGGGUGAAAGGCCAAUCAAACUCGGAAAUAGCUGGUUCUCCGCGAAAUCUAUUUAGGUAGAGCGUCGACCGAAUACCCCAGGGGGUAGAGCACUGGAUGGGCUAGGGGUCCUCACCGGAUUACCAAACCUAACCAAACUCCGAAUACCUGGGAGUACUAGUCGGCAGACACACGGCGGGUGCUAACGUCCGUCGUGAAAAGGGAAACAACCCUGACCUACAGCUAAGGUCCCCAAGUUAUGGCUAAGUGGGAAAGGAUGUGAGGAUCCCAAAACAACCAGGAUGUUGGCUUAGAAGCAGCCAUCAUUUAAAGAAAGCGUAACAGCUCACUGGUCUAAAUAAGGGUCUUUGCGCCGAAAAUGUAACGGGGCUAAAGCCAUACACCGAAGCUUAGGGUUUGGUCCGCAAGGGCCAAGCGGUAGCGGAGCGUUCUGUAAGCUGAUGAAGCCAUACCCGUGAGGGGUGGUGGAGGUAUCAGAAGUGCGAAUGCUGACAUGAGUAACGUAAGGGGAGUGAGAGACUCCCCCGCCGAAAGACCAAGGGUUCCUGCUUAAAGCUAAUCUGAGCAGGGUAAGCCGGCCCCUAAGGCGAGGCCGAAAGGCGUAGUCGAUGGGAACCAGGUUAAUAUUCCUGGGCCAGGAGAUGGUGACGGAUCCCGAGGGUAGUUCGAUCUUAACGGAUUGAUCGGGCUGCUUAGGGGUCCCUGGAAAUAGCCCUCCACAAGACCGUACCCUAAACCGACACAGGUGGACUGGUAGAGAAUACCAAGGCGCUUGAGAGAACCACAUUUAAGGAACUCGGCAAAAUACCUCCGUAAGUUCGCGAGAAGGAGGCCCGGUUUUUGCGCAAGCAGAGGCCGGGGGCACAAACCAGGGGGUGGCGACUGUUUACUAAAAACACAGGGCUCUGCGAAGUCGCAAGACGACGUAUAGGGUCUGACGCCUGCCCGGUGCUGGAAGGUUAAGAGGAGGGGUGCAAGCUCUGAAUCGAAGCCCCAGUAAACGGCGGCCGUAACAAUAACGGUCCUAAGGUAGCGAAAUUCCUUGUCGGGUAAGUUCCGACCUGCACGAAUGGCGUAACGACUUCCCCGCUGUCUCAAAUGUGGACUCAGCGAAAUUGAAUUGUCUGUGAAGAUGCAGACUUCCCGCGGUUAGACGGAAAGACCCCAUGCACCUUUACUACAACUUCGCACUGGCAUCAGGAUUGCGAUGUGCAGGAUAGGCGGUAGGCUUUGAAGCGGGGACGCUAGUCCUCGUGGAGCCAUCCUUGAGAUACCGCCCUUCGCACUCUUGAUGUCUAACCGCGGCCCGUUAUCCGGGUCCGGGACCCUGCGUGGUGGGUAGUUUGACUGGGGCGGUCGCCUCCUAAAGAGUAACGGAGGCGCGCGAUGGUGGGCUCAGAACGGUCGGAAAUCGUUCGCUGAGUGCAAUGGCAUAAGCCUGCCUGACUGCGAGACUGACAAGUCGAGCAGAGA
rnacentral:rRNA from 1 species